GAGGUGUGUUCUCUCAAAUCUCUCUCAAGCCCUAACUCUACACUCUCAGAUCUCUCUGCAACCCUAACUUUAACUCUCCACUCUCCUUCUCUAUUUUCACUUUCAUAUACAGAACCACUUCCGAAUCUUGGGGUUUCAUCCUCCUCUUCACUUUUCCUUCAUUUUUAACCGAUUAAAACCACUUUUCUACUGAUUAAAACCCUUUCUGCCGUUUGUUAUUCGAUUUCCACCGAUUCAACCUCUAUUUGCGUCGUUUAAACACUUUUUUACCGAUCAAUCUUGUGUUUGAACCAAUUAAUUGGUUCAUUUUAAGUUUCUCCCUAUUUUUGGGGUUUCUUAGGUCCAGAUUAGGGUACUUCCUCCAUUUUGGAGUUUUCCCCCAAUCGGGCUUCUAUUCAUUCGUUUAGGAAGCUUCGAAGGAGUUCGAGUCGAGUCCGCAUCGCUCUUUUGGUCAUCUCCUCGGAGGCUCUUCCGUCAAGUGGCUGCAAAAUCAAUCACACCCGAUGGCGUUUCGGCGCUGCUACUCUUUUGAAACCCAAAGAAGAGGCUGGAUUGAAGACUUAAGGUGUUGUUGGGAUUGUUUUUGAACCAAAAGCAGGAAGUGGUGACAAAAUCUGCUGCGGAGAUUCUAAACGAUCAACAUAGAAAACUUUUGAGGAGGUCAUGACACCAAUUGAAUCUACAUUUUCCUUGGAUGUGGCUUCCAAAUUGGACUGGUCAUUUCAUUGGAUUUACCACUAGCUAUUAAAUUAUUCAUCAAUACAAGAGUUGAAGAUUCUCGGUUUGGGGUUUAUAGCCACCACUUUGAUGAUAAAUGGCUAGUUGGUGGAGCUUCAAACAUUGGUGGAGCAAUUCCUGGACAGUUUUUCACCGAUAGCCAAUUGUAUAAGUAGUUUAGUUUACUACUAUGUAAAA